UGAGCCAAGUUUAGGGUUUCUUAAAAACCCAAAGAUGUUUGAACUGAAGAGUUUGAUCAUGGCUCAGAUUGAACGCUGGCGGCAGGCCUAACACAUGCAAGUCGAGCGGUAGAG
rnacentral:rRNA from 1 species